GCCUGUAGCUCAGUUGGUUAGAGCGCACGCCUGAUAAGUGUCCCUCAGAUGGCGCGAAUCCCGGCAAGAAACCGUCUAAAUUAUUACAGGACUGCACGAUCUGCCGUUCUUGCCGUGGGGCACCA
rnacentral:tRNA from 1 species